CAGCCCCCCCCCCUUUAUCCUGCUCUGCAUGUGGUAAAGCUACUGGCUAAUCAUCCGAUUAUUAUUUUUAAACCCCAAUGUUCUUCCAAAGCAGUGCCUAAAGUUUAACCAAAAAGACAAGACUAAUAUAUAUUAAUAUAUAUGAUUGUUGGGAGAGUAUUUGUAUAUUUAGCGAUGAGAGAGAGAACACACCCCUCCAGCUCAGUAACCCAGGAGCUUGCUUCGGUUCGUACCAUCUGCAGAGUAGCCAAAAGCAGCCACCAUCGAGCCGCUCCCACAGCCCGGCGGAACCUGCUGACAGUUUUGAGCCUAACCAGCUAGUGACUUUUUUAUUAACUCUGCCAGCUUCAUGCCAUGCCACCCCCAGAGGAGGAGAGGAUACUGUCCCCAGCUCCUAGACCUGCUGCCCUCCCCUCUUCCCAUGAAAAGAGACUGUGACCGUGGACUGACCACACCGUCCCUCUGCACACCAGCUCUGGAGCCGUUGCCCGGAUCCUUUCUGCUGCCCUUUGGCAGGGCGGAGGAGGAGGCUGCUGUCUGCUACCUGCCUCCUCCCAAGCACUGCUUAGCCUGCCUCCCAGAACCUCCCCACAGCCGCUGUGGACUCAGCACUCAGACUACAUCUUUUUCCAGUCCCACCAAAGAAGUCCCCCUGCCACUGGGAGAAUUCCUUAGCUGGGUCUCUGAUGUUAGCAAGUCCUGGAUCAGUUCCCAGGGAGCCCCGGACUCAGCAGCUCCUCGGCUGUUCUCCUCCACACAGUGUUGCUGGAUGUCCAUUCCAACUGUCCUCCCCGCAGCCGAGGAGCUCGUACCCCAGUGUUGGGGGGAAGUGGGACAGCACUGAGGAUUCCCCCUCCCUUUGCACUGGUCCAGCGGGCCUGGUCAGAGAUUGUGGGGGGCAGCACCCCUCCAUGCGCCUGUGUCCUUCCCUGCGCAGCACUGGGAGCUGAUCCUCUGUCCCCGGUCCUGAAGGCCGGGGCUCUGGAGAACUGCAGCCCAGCAGAGUGCUGGGGGAGGGUGUCUGCGCAGAGCCUGGGCUAGCGUUGCUGCCUGCUCACGCAAGCAUGUGUGCCUAAUGCAGGAACUGCACGGUGACCACCAGUCUGUCUCGCCCGCUCCCAUUCUCAGCAGCCCCCCAGGGCUGAACGGUGCUCCGCCCUCUGUCUGCAGCAAUAAGAGCCGUGAAGUCACCCUGGGGAUCAGCCCUGGCUUGUGAUGUCAUUGGGGCUCCCCCCUUGGGCUGGCCCUGGCUUCUAGGGCCUUCAGCUCCAGUUCCCCAGACAAGGGCACCUGACUCCUUGCACUUAUAUGGCCUUUCCCCUCCCUCAUCACCAGCAGUGGGCAAAGAACGGCAUGUGCCGUGGUCCAACAGCGACCCCUCACGCGUGCGGAUCCAAACCCAUUUCUCCUCCUCCCCCCCCCCACCGCUCUCAUUGGCUACAUGGAAAUCAAGGCAUGUUAUCCCUCAGCAUUUGUCACUAUAUUAUUCUCAUUAUCCAGUUUUUGCUUUUGCAUGAUGUACUAACGUGGGCAAUUGUGUAACAUAUUCCAGCCUGAGCCGGGGCGCCCGGUCCCAGCUCCCUCCCCUUGGGACGCUGGGCUCCCCUGGCUCCCACUUGUUUCUGUUCAGGGC
ensembl:lncRNA